CCUACGGGAGGCAGCAGUGGGGAAUAUUGGACAAUGGGCGAAAGCCUGAUCCAGCAAUGCCGCGUGAGUGAAGAAGGCCUUCGGGUUGUAAAGCUCUUUUACCCGGGAAGAUAAUGACUGUACCGGGAGAAUAAGCCCCGGCUAACUCCGUGCCAGCAGCCGCGGUAAUACGGAGGGGGCUAGCGUUGUUCGGAAUUACUGGGCGUAAAGCGUACGUAGGCGGCUUUGUAAGUCAGAGGUGAAAGCCCACGACUCAAUCGUGGAACUGCCUUUGAGACUGCUUCGCUUGAAGAUGGGAGAGGUUAGUGGAAUUCCGAGUGUAGAGGUGAAAUUCGUAGAUAUUCGGAAGAACACCAGUGGCGAAGGCGGCUAACUGGACCAUUCUUGACGCUGAGGUACGAAAGCGUGGGGAGCAAACAGGAUUAGAUACCCUGGUAGUCCACGCCGUAAACGAUGAUAACUAGCUGUCGGGGCUCUUGGAGCUUCGGUGGCGCAGCUACGCAUUAAGUUAUCCGUCCGUCGGGUAGGUACGGUCCGGCCGAACGGUUAAACGUACGUAAGUAGAAGUUAGUACGGCGUGAGAACGUGUCCGACGGACGACGACGAGGGGAGGUUAGG
rnacentral:rRNA from 1 species